CAGUUUGUAGGCACUCUCAGCUUGUAGGCACUCUCAUCUUGUAGGUACUUGAAGGUACUCUCAGCUUGUAGGUACUCUCCGCUUGUAAGUACUCUCAGCUUGUAGGCACUCUCAGCUUGUAGGUACUUGAAGGUACUCUCAGCUUGUAGGUACUCUCAGCUUGUAGGUACUCUCCGCUUGUAGGUACUCUCAGCUUGUAGGUACUCAGCUUGUAGGUAUUCCCAGCUUGUAGGUACUCAGCUUGUAGGCACUCUCAGCUUGUAGGUACUGUCAGCUUGUAGGUACUCUCAGCUUGUAGGUACUCUCAGCUUGUAGGCACUCAGUUUGUAGGGGCACUCAGUUUGUAGGCACUCUCAGCUUGUAGGUACUCUCAGCUUAUAUGCACUCUCAGCC
rnacentral:lncRNA from 1 species